CAGAGGUUUGCAUGCUGGACAAAUGAGGCCACAGCAUUGCUCCAAGGAUCACUGCAGCCGAUCUACAGGAUCCCGAAGACCAGAAAAAGGGAUCAUGAGAUGAGAAUGAUGUUGAUGGCAGAGGACACCCAGGGUUAUGCUCCUUUUUGUUAUAGACUCUUUAAUGCAAUUCAGGUUUCUUAUUCUUACAUGUCUAUAUUGAUACAUAAAUAAUUUUCCCUCAAAGGUUCAGUUUGAAAAGGCCGACAGGUGCUUCAUAUUGGAGAUGCCAACAUCUGUGCUUGAUGAAAUCCACAAAGAGGUGGUGCUCCAGGAAGGAGAUAAUGUCUACCUGACAUUGGCCCUGGUGUGUACCACAUUCAGAGACAUUGUGUCCACCAAUUAUUUGAGAAGACGGGCACAUUUUCAGUGGCUUGACAGUGUUGCUACAUGGAGUAGGUUUUCUGCAACGUACAAAAAAGCUUUCUGCACCAUGUACUGACACCUGUAUUGACAUACUGUAUUGACACCUGCCUUGGAUGUGGACGACUAUAUAAAAACUGCACACCAGGAUAUGUUGGGACAGGAAAAAGGGGAGCGCUAGAAGCAAUCUAUUCCGAAGCUGAAGAUCCGGGAUACUGCAAUCACUUCUGCAGCCAAUUGCAAUCGGUGUCCCUCUUGCCUGUCCUCCAGCCCCUGCACGUCGAGAGGAGCAGACACCCGUUUGUGCCCAGAGGACAUUACUCACAUGUUGGACUUUUGAGAAUACUUUGCAAAAUCUCAUGACACUGUUAUUGUUGUAAAUAUAUAUAUAUAGUUAUAUGUCCUUAAGAUGUUCAUGUUAAUGUUUGUGUUGUUGUUUCUGCAUACAAGGUUGACCUGUACUUAGUUUGUUUCGAUUGAAUAUGCAUGUUAAGUAUUACCUUAGUUUGUUUCACUAGUCACUUUUGUUGUACAUAGUAACUUUAAAUUGUUACCUUUUUUCCACAUUUGUAUAUAGUCACUGUUAGUACCUGGAAGCAGUAGGAGUGAGCUGCCUUUUCUUUUGACUUGUUUUCUCAUGUUUUUUCAUAGUUUAGGAUGUUAGUUUUAGUGAUGGUCUUUUUUAUUAUUUACUUUGACAUAGGGUUUAGGUAGCUUGAACUUCCCUUUAAAAUCUAGUUUGUUUUGUUUAAUUAUUUUGGCCUUGGUUCACUCCGAAGAGAAGCUUCAUUUUCAGUUUGGUGUAUUGUUUGUGUGCUAAGCAGCAAUAAACUGCUUGUCAUUUUGA